rnacentral:misc_RNA from 1 species
UCUUUUGCUUUGAUCAGCCAUAGUUGCCAGAUGGUGAUUUAAUGAAAAGAAUUCGUUGCCAUGGAGAAGGCUAAGUCUAGGAGGGCUAGAGUUUGAGGUAUUGUUUGGCGAAGGCAGUGGUGGAGUCCUUGGAACGACUGGCCUAAGCUUUCUGCCAUUGAAGGAAUCAGGCAUGUUGAACUCACCACCAUCGCUACAACCCAUCAUCCACAUUUUGACACGGCAAAUACUUAAGCAAGAAAGAGGGUUAAUUUCUUUUGUUUCUCUCUCAAUGAAAAUGGGUAUGGUGAAGAAGAAGAAGAAGAGUAAUCAUAUUGGGUCCAUAAGAUCAAUUUUCA